rnacentral:rRNA from 1 species
GAUGAACGCUAGCGGGAGGCCUAACACAUGCAAGCCGAGCGGUAGAGUUUCUUCGGAAACUUGAGAGCGGCGCACGGGUGCGUAACACGUGUGCAACCUACCUUUAUCUGGGGGAUAGCCUUUCGAAAGGAAGAUUAAUACCCCAUAAUAUAAUGAUUGGCAUCAAUUAUUAUUGAAAACUCCGGUGGAUAGAGAUGGGCACGCGCAAGAUUAGAUAGUUGGUGAGGUAACGGCUCACCAAGUCAAUGAUCUUUAGGGGUCCUGAGAGGGAGAUCCCCCACACUGGUACUGAGACACGGACCAGACUCCUACGGGAGGCAGCAGUGAGGAAUAUUGGACAAUGGGUGAGAGCCUGAUCCAGCCAUCCCGCGUGAAGGAUGACGGUCCUAUGGAUUGUAAACUUCUUUUGUACAGGGAUAAACCUACCCUCGGGAGGGUAGCUGAAGGUACUGUACGAAUAAGCACCGGCUAACUCCGUG